AACGAACGCUGGCGGCAUGCUUAACACAUGCAAGUCGAACGAGACCUUCGGGUCUAGUGGCGCACGGGUGCGUAACGCGUGGGAAUCUGCCCUUUGCUACGGAAUAACUCAGAGAAAUUUGUGCUAAUACCGUAUAAUGUCGAAAGACCAAAGAUUUAUCGGCAAAGGAUGAGCCCGCGUAGGAUUAGCUAGUUGGUGAGGUAAAGGCUCACCAAGGCGACGAUCCUUAGCUGGUCUGUGAGGAUGAUCAGCCACACUGGGACUGAGACACGGCCAAGACUCCUACGGGAGGGAGCAGUGGGGAAUGUUGGACAAUGGGCGAAAGCCUGAUGCAGCAAUGCCGCGUGAGUGAUGAAGGCCUUAGGGUUGUAAAGCUCUUUUACCAGGGAUGAUAAUGACAGUACCUGGAGAAUAAGCUCCGGCUAACUCCGUGCCAGCAGCCGCCGUAA
rnacentral:rRNA from 1 species